UACCAGCACCCCGAGUGGUCGGGACGAUUAUUGGGCCUAAAGCAUCCGUAGCCGGUUUUACAAGUCCUCCGUUAAAUCCAGCUGCUUAACAGAUGGGCUGCGGAGGAUACUAUAGGACUAGGAGGCAGGAGAGGCAAGCGGUACUCAGUGGGUAGGGGUAAAAUCCGUUGAUCCAUUGAAGACCACCAGUGGCGAAGGCGGCUUGCCAGAAUGCGCUCGACGGUGAGGGAUGAAAGCUGGGGGAGCAAACCGG
rnacentral:rRNA from 1 species